ACAGGAAAAAGCUUGCUUCUUUGCUGACGAGUGGCGGACGGGUGAGUAAUGUCUGGGAAACUGCCUGAUGGAGGGGGAUAACUACUGGAAACGGUAGCUAAUACCGCAUAACGUCGCAAGACCAAAGAGGGGGACCUUCGGGCCUCUUGCCAUCGGAUGUGCCCAGAUGGGAUUAGCUAGUAGGUGGGGUAACGGCUCACCUAGGCGACGAUCCCUAGCUGGUCUGAGAGGAUGACCAGCCACACUGGAACUGAGACACGGUCCAGACUCCUACGGGAGGCAGCAGUGGGGAAUAUUGCACAAUGGGCGCAAGCCUGAUGCAGCCAUGCCGCGUGUAUGAAGAAGGCCUUCGGGUUGUAAAGUACUUUCAGCGGGGAGGAAGGGAGUAAAGUUAAUACCUUUGCUCAUUGACGUUACCCGCAGAAGAAGCACCGGCUAACUCCGUGCCAGCAGCCGCGGUAAUACGGAGGGUGCAAGCGUUAAUCGGAAUUACUGGGCGUAAAGCGCACGCAGGCGGUUUGUUAAGUCAGAUGUGAAAUCCCCGGGCUCAACCUGGGAACUGCAUCUGAUACUGGCAAGCUUGAGUCUCGUAGAGGGGGGUAGAAUUCCAGGUGUAGCGGUGAAAUGCGUAGAGAUCUGGAGGAAUACCGGUGGCGAAGGCGGCCCCCUGGACGAAGACUGACGCUCAGGUGCGAAAGCGUGGGGAGCAAACAGGAUUAGAUACCCUGGUAGUCCACGCCGUAAACGAUGUCGACUUGGAGGUUGUGCCCUUGAGGCGUGGCUUCCGGAGCUAACGCGUUAAGUCGACCGCCUGGGGAGUACGGCCGCAAGGUUAAAACUCAAAUGAAUUGACGGGGGCCCGCACAAGCGGUGGAGCAUGUGGUUUAAUUCGAUGCAACGCGAAGAACCUUACCUGGUCUUGACAUCCACGGAAGUUUUCAGAGAUGAGAAUGUGCCUUCGGGAACCGUGAGACAGGUGCUGCAUGGCUGUCGUCAGCUCGUGUUGUGAAAUGUUGGGUUAAGUCCCGCAACGAGCGCAACCCUUAUCCUUUGUUGCCAGCGGUCCGGCCGGGAACUCAAAGGACACUGCCAGUGAUAANCUGGGGGAAGGG
rnacentral:rRNA from 1 species